GGUUAUCUGGUCAGGUCAGUUUAUAAGUUGUGGGGGGUGUGUGGUUUUUUUUUUUUGUUUUUUUGUUUUGUUUGAAGCUCUUAACAAUUAAUGUUGCUGCUUAGUGUUUGGGUCUGUGCUGCUGUAUGUAUGUGAGCUGUAAUACUCACUGUGAAGGUCUUCAACUUCACUCCUGAAGUCAGUGAGAUCACGAGCCCACCAGAAGGAAGAAACUCCACACACUUCUGAACAGCUGAAGGAACGAACUCCGGACACACCACCUUGUAGAACUGUGACACUCAUGCCUUAAAAAGGAUAUUCUGUCAUGUGUGGCAAGAUGGAUAAACCUGGAGGACAUUACGCUCCAGUGAAACGGGUACUGCAUUUUGAUAAAUUGAAGGUUUGUGGAACGCUGCAUUGAGCAAGUCUAUUGGUACCAUUUUCCAACAGCAUGUGCUCACUUCAUGUCUCUGUGCCACAUUUGGAAUGAAGAGAAUCUGAACUAAGAUGGGGUGAAAGUAGGAAAUCAUUCCCCCAUGUCAAGUGCAAGGGCUAUCCAGUUAGAGGCCAACACAGAUGUCUGAUCAAAGGUAAAAGUCUUUGUGUGCUUGCAACAAGGGAAGUUGUCUAAUAGGGUCUGAAGACAGAAAGUCCUGUGGUUGUGUCCUGCCCUUCUCCUGCCACACUGGGCCUGCCUUCAGCAGCAAUGUCCCUUGGUGGUUGUCCGCCCUCUGCCACCUGCCUUCAUUUACUCUUGCAGUGGGGUUUAUUUACUCUCACUAUCAUUUGGAUAUACAAAGAAAUUUUAAUUCCCUUAUUUUUCAGACAUCAACCUGACCUUCCUUAUCAGCACUUGGUAAUGAUGGUGCUGACAGGUAACACAGUACAAUCCAGUUAAACCCUUCAUCUGAUUCAAUCGUUUAACUUUUUUUUGAGGUUUAAUUUAGGAUUUUAUUAUAUUUUACCAGUCUUUUAGAUUCCACUCUGCUGCUUUCCAGUAUGGUGCAGAGGGAAUAUAGUUCCUGAGGAGAGGUGCCCAUGACUGCCAGGUUUUGGAGGAAGGGGUGGCCUAGCCUCAUAUUGGUUCUUGGGGCAUUCUGGCUGGCAUCUGCUGAGGGAUGUUUGGUGUGCCCCUAUCCCUGGUCAUUCUAUGGUAUCCACCCAUGACAACUGUGGCCGCUAAUCUCAUGGUCUAUUGUUUCUCAGACUUGGUCAGGGCCUGGCCAGCUUGCCCCAAACAUUUGCAAGGCUGGGGGCAAGGCUGCUAUGAUAUAUGAAUACCUAAAAGUUAGCAAUCAAGCUGACACACUUUUAAAUAUGUUCCAUUCCUUUACCUUGACAAAUAUAUCUUUAUAAUGACAAAAUUGAAAAAUAUGUUUAAAACUAUAGCUUUUGUAAAUUGGAAAGUCAGUAAAAUAUUGACAAAUUUAUUUAUAAUUAUACA